AACGGAUUAUUCUUUAUAGCUUGCUAUGAUGAAAAUUAGUGGCAGACGGGUGAGUAAUGCAUAGGAAUCUACCUAGUAGUAUGGGAUAGCCACUAGAAAUGGUGGGUAAUACUGUAUAAUCCCUGCGGGGGAAAGAUUUAUCGCUAUUAGAUGAGCCUAUGUUAGAUUAGCUAGUUGGUAGGGUAAAGGCCUACCAAGGCAGUGAUCUAUAGCUGGUCUGAGAGGAUGAUCAGCCACACUGGAACUGAGAUACGGUCCAGACUCCUACGGGAGGCAGCAGUGGGGAAUAUUGGACAAUGGGCGCAAGCCUGAUCCAGCUAUGCCGCGUGAGUGAGGAAGGCCUUAGGGUUGUAAAACUCUUUCAGUGGGGAAGAUAAUGACGGUACCCACAGAAGAAGUCCCGGCAAACUCCGUGCCAGCAGCCGCGGUAAUACGGAGGGGGCAAGCGUUGUUCGGAAUUAUUGGGCGUAAAGGGCAUGUAGGCGGUUCGGUAAGUUAAAGGUGAAAUGCCAGGGCUUAACCCUGGAGCUGCUU
rnacentral:rRNA from 1 species